AACGAACGCUGGCGGCAGGCCUAACACAUGCAAGUCGAACGGAUCCUUCGGGAUUAGUGGCGGACGGGUGAGUAACGCGUGGGAACAUACCCUUUGGUACGGAAUAGCCUCGGGAAACUGGGAGUAAUACCGUAUGUGGUCGAGAGACGAAAGAUUUAUCGCCAAGGGAUUGGCCCGCGUUGGAUUAGGUAGUUGGUGGGGUAAUGGCCUACCAAGCCGACGAUCCAUAGCUGGUUUGAGAGGAUGAUCAGCCACACUGGGACUGAGACACGGCCCAGACUCCUACGGGAGGCAGCAGUGGGGAAUCUUAGACAAUGGGGGAAACCCUGAUCUAGCCAUGCCGCGUGAUCGAUGAAGGCCUUAGGGUUGUAAAGAUCUUUCAGGUGGGAAGAUAAUGACUGUACCACCAGAAGAAGCCCCGGCUAACUCCGUGCCAGCCGCCGCAGUAA
rnacentral:rRNA from 1 species